UACGUAGGGUGCGAGCGUUAAUCGGAAUACUGGGCGUAAAGCGUGCGCAGGCGGUGAUGUAAGACAGGUGUGAAAUCCCCGGGCUUAACCUGGGAACUGCAUUUGUGACUGCAUCGCUGGAGUGCGGCAGAGGGGGGAUGGAAUUCCGCGUGUAGCAGUGAAAUGCGUAGAUAUGCGGAGGAACACCGAUGGCGAAGGCGGUCUGCUGGGCAGUAGCUGACACUGAGGCGCGACAGCGUGGGGGGAGCAAACAGG
rnacentral:rRNA from 1 species